AGAAAAAUUAUUUGCGACGGCAACGCCAUGACGUCGCAUAAAUAUGCCUUCAAUUGCUACGGCAAUAUAUUUCCGUCGCCAGAAUUUACUUUUUUUUCGAUAAGAUAAAAACUCGGGCCAAACCCAGAUCUCUCCAGACUCUCCAUCUCAUCUCGUUUCCUCUUCUUCUCUUCAUCCUCGCUCGACGCCAUCCCAUUGAUGUAAAGGCCAAAGCCAAUAAUCCGGUCAUUAGGGGUUGAAGUAGUUUUUGCAAUAGAGAAAGCUGCGGUAGAGAUAUGACUACUGUAAGAUCAAGCUUGCCGUCUAAGAUUCAGCAACUUCAGUUCGCCGAAGGUGCUCUCGGGCUGUCUAUCAAACUCGACUCCAAGCCGGAUUAUCACAUAGAUGCUGAUUAUCAAGUGGGUGAUGGCUUCUCUUUCAGUGGAGGUGGAAUGGGAAGAGAACAUCGAUCCUGAUAACAUGACAUAUGAGUUUACUAGAUGAGGCCUAACUACCACCCAGAAGGCUCAUUUUAAGAAAACAAAGUAGCUGGAAAGAGUCAAUAACCUAAUGAGUUCAACUUCUCUUAGCUUUGGAUAUUAGGAGGGUCUUUUGGUGAAGAUCUGAACAACAUUGAAGCUGGUUGGCAGGUUGAAUUAUAAAUCUUGAUACUUGUUGGUGCAUAACAAUAGGUUAGCCCAGACCUCUAUGGUGACAGCAACACGACUGUUUUUAUCGAUCUCAAAGGUAAUCACAAAAGGUUGUAAAGCAACUCAAAUAAGAAGCUCAGACACAAGAAGAUGGUUCAUAUAAGUCUGUCUUGGCUCUAUCUUAGAUUCUGUAUAAAAUUUAAGAAAAUCAAACAGAAAGUGGCAGCAUCGCAUGGGUGAACUGCCUAGUUUUAGCUAAGGUUUAAAUAUUAGUGCAUUUUUGUAUCUGUAUAAUCAUACCUCAAAUAUUAUCUAUCCAAGGAUUCCAAGCUUUGU